UACGUAGGGGGCUAGCGUUGUCCGGAAUCAUUGGGCGUAAAGAGCGUGUAGGCGGUCCGGUAAGUCCGCUGUGAAAGUCGGGGGGCUCAACCCUCGAAUGCCGGUGGAUACUGUCGGGCUAGAGUGCGGAAGAGGCGAGUGGAAUUCCUGGUGUAGCGGUGAAAUGCGCAGAUAUCAGGAGGGAACACCUAUUGCGAAGGCAGCUCGCUGGGACGUUAACUGGACGCUGAGACGCGAAAGCGUGGGGAGCAAACAGG
rnacentral:rRNA from 1 species